UACGGAGGGUGCGAGCGUUGUUCGGAAUCACUGGGCGUAAAGGGCGUGUAGGCGGUCCGCUAAGUCUGAUGUGAAAGCCCGGGGCUCACCCCCGGAAGUGCAUUGGAAACUGGCGGACUCGAGUCCCGGAGAGGAGAGUGGAAUUCCUGGUGUAGCGGUGAAAUGCGUAGAUAUCAGGAGGAACACCGGUGGCGAAGGCGGGUCUCUGGGCAUUAACUGACGCUGAGGAGCGAAAGCAUGGGGAGCGAACAGG
rnacentral:rRNA from 1 species